rnacentral:rRNA from 1 species
UACGUAGGGUCCGAGCGUUGUCCGGAAUUACUGGGCGUAAAGAGCUCGUAGGUGGUUUGUCGCGUUGUUCGUGAAAACUCACAGCUCAACUGUGGGCGUGCGGGCGAUACGGGCAGACUGGAGUACUGCAGGGGAGACUGGAAUUCCUGGUGUAGCGGUGGAAUGCGCAGAUAUCAGGAGGAACACCGGUGGCGAAGGCGGGUCUCUGGGCCGCUACUGACGCUGAGAAGCGAAAGCAUGGGGAGCGAACAGG